GACGAACGCUGGCGGCGUGCUUAACACAUGCAAGUCGAACGAUGAUGCUGGAGCUUGCUCCAGUUGAUUAGUGGCGAACGGGUGAGUAACACGUGAGCAAUCUGCCCUUGACUCUGGGAUAACUGCGGGAAACUGUAGCCAAUACCGGAUACUUUCACCGGGGGGCAUCCUCUGGUGAUGAAAGAAUUUCGGUCAAGGAUGAGCUCGCGGCCUAUCAGCUUGUUGGUGAGGUAACGGCUCACCAAGGCGACGACGGGUAACCGGCCUGAGAGGGUGACCGGUCACACUGGGACUGAGACACGGCCCAGACUCCUACGGGAGGCAGCAGUGGGGAAUAUUGCACAAUGGGCGCAAGCCUGAUGCAGCAACGCCGCGUGAGGGAUGAAGGCCUUCGGGUUGUAAACCUCUUUUAGCAGGGAAGAAGCGAAAGUGACGGUACCUGCAGAAAAAGCACCGGCUAACUACGUGCCAGCAGCCGCCGCAG
rnacentral:rRNA from 1 species